AAUGGUGAGCUAUUCCUGGGCAGGGUGAAGCCAGAGGAAACUCUGGUGGAGGCCUGCAGCAGUCCUGAUGUGGGUCCGACCUGGGUAAAGAAGCAAAAGACUAAUCGAACCAUUUAGUA
rfam:Danio rerio chromosome 17, GRCz11 reference primary assembly.